GCCGUCGCCUCCCGGCGUAGGACGCCGCCGCCGCCGCCCCUCCACUGCGCUGCCCGUGACCGCCGACGCCGCGAGCCGACGCCACCUCUCCGCGUCCCGCCCGUGACCAACGCCAUCGCUCCACCGCCCACCACCGCUGCCCGUCCAACGCGCUGCCGUUGCUCCACAGCGCCGCCCGCGACCGACGCUCCCGCUCCAUGAUCUCCACCGUGCUCCUCGGAUCUCCACCGCCCACUGUUCGCCUCCGCUCCAUUCUAUGGGAAACCAGUCCUAAAUAUCUAAAGUAUGAGGAUACUCCUGAGUGGGUGAAGGUGGAGGGUGCGGGCUGGCAGGAGCAUCGGUGCUGCUCCCGUUGGCUACGGUGUGGGCGGGUGUGUUUUUGGAUCCUGCGAGAUGGGAGGAGGUGGUCCUCCUUCGAGGCUGAGCCGAGAAAAGGGCAGCUAACAAGCUUCAGUGAUUAAUGGCCUCCACUGCAGAGGAAAAAUGAAGGGUUGUGGCCCAAAACUUUUUGGGGCAAAGGAGGAGAACAAAGUCUCAAAGAGAACAGACAAUCCAAAUUGCAGCACUGAUUGGUUCAGAUUCUCCUUUUUCAAAAUUUAUUGGCCCCCAUUUUCAUUUUUGUGUUGUCAUUUUAGUGGCAUUGGCAGUUAGACUUAUGUAUUCAAACUCUCCUUUUAAGAGUGAUACACCAAUAUUUUUGGUUUUCAGAAAAGAAUGUAUAUACAUUUUUUCAUGCUACCCGAACUAUUAUUGUUCUUCAUUCUUUGUCGUUCUCUUUCAUCCUGUAAUGCUGGUUUCUUAUCUAGAGAGGAUGAGGCAUGACAUAUGUAAUUGCUGUAAUUUGUCACCUGUUUACUUGUCUGUUUUCUGUGAAUG